rnacentral:rRNA from 1 species
AUACGGAGGGUGCAAGCGUUAAUCGGAACUACUGGGCGUAAAGCGUACGUAGGCGGUUAUUUAAGUCAGAUGUGAAAGCCCCGGGCUUAACUUGGGAACUGCAUUUGAAACUGGGUAACUAGAGUUUAGUAGAGGGGAGUGGAAUUUCAGGUGUAGCGGUGAAAUGCGUAGAGAUCUGAAGGAACACCAGUGGCGAAGGCGACUCCCUGGACUAAAACUGACGCUGAGGUACGAAAGCGUGGGUAGCAAACAGGAUUAGAAACCCUAGUAGUCC